CAAUUGGAUAAUUCACAGUUUCGUUGGUAUCGCAAACUGCAUCGAUAGAUUUGUAUGACACCAAGUACCCAGGCAACAACUGUUGUAUCUUUAAAUUUAACCCAUUGACUUCCACAUUUUUUUUUGCCAAAAUCGCUUUUACUGCCAACCAAUUAUGAUUUUCAUAUUGUGUAUGUACAUCGGGAAAUAUUUAUCGAUGAGAGUAUUUUGCUAAUCCGUCCGUAAUUUUAUGCAUCAAGCAUUUUCAUGUACAGCAACAUUCCCAUAGCCAAUAUCUAACAGUUGUUUAGAAAAAGUUUCGCCGGAUGGAUCCUCAAUUAUUUUAACGCGCAUGUUCACCGUCAGCUCUACUUUUUCAACAUAACACCACAGUCGCGACCACAAGCGUUGAUUUCAUCAGCGUACGUCAAACGUGGAAUAACGGGAAUGCUAAAAAUGACUAAAAUGCUCGAUGAAAUUGUUGGCGUUUUUGGUCGAUUCCUCUGCGUUUGUUGCGUUUUUGGUAAAUUCCUCUACGCUUUUUGCGUUGUUGGUUAAUUCUUCUACGUCUGUCGACUAUGUAUUUGCGCGUUACUCUCCGUUCUAGUUGCCUUUGUUGAUUUAGUUCAUCUGGACUGUGAUUCACGUAACUGCGCCAUGCUUAAACGCUCGUCUACAUUUUUUUGUUGGAUUAUUUAUAUAUCUCGCAUGGUUCUAGAUUUGAACUCAAAUUGGCCUCUUUGCGUCUUAUUGGCAUUGCUCAAAUAUAUUAAAUUCUCGGGUUACAAUGUUUGUUAUUUAACUUCUCCGAAAUGGCUCGAACGAUUUUCUUGAAAAUCGUGGUCCAUAGAGGGUAUUUUUGUAUACUGGCUCUUGCGCCCAGUAUUAUAUAUUUAUCUAUUGUUACGUUUAUACACUUGCCAAUCAAAGCAAUACACUCUAUUGCAUUUUAUUCGUCCAACAGAGAUAGUUCAAUAAAGGGCUCCUGACCAUUACUCCCAAGUCCUACCGCCAUGGUUGCAUUGUCGCCCUUCUAUCCCACAGUCCGUCUGAUGCUGAGCUAUUGGCUACCGUCGUCGUCUACUACUACGUCUACUGCAGCGCAGGACUUCAGAAGUUCAUAUGUAGAACGAAGUCGCUUGACAUCUCGUCUGAGGAACUUCGUAAGGGAUUAAGUUUGUUGUGUCAAAUCGUUCGACGGGCCCAAAAAAUUUAAAGUCAAUAAAAAUACAUUCCAAUAUACUUUUGUUCUCAAAUUAUUUUCUAAAUUGAUUGAAACUCAGCUAAUUUAUCUAGUUGGCAUAUAAUUUCAUUAGCUUUGUUCUGAAAAAAAAACCAAAGUUCACUUUUCCGGUAUUUUUAUACAGCCAUGCUCGGGUUCGUUUCGUUUUUAGGUGCUCCCGUUUUCACAAAUAUUUGGUAUUCAAAUUUUUAAUUUUCUAAUGUUUAAUUACGUUUUUAGCCAAAACGUUUGGUUUUAGGUGCUCCCGUUUUCACAAAUAUUUGGUAUCGAAAUGUUUAAUUUUCUCAUCGAUUCUGGCAUACAAAAACAGCUGAUCUGAAUACUUAAAUACGUAAAUAAACAGCGUCUUAAAAAUUAGUUUAUUGAUUGUUUUGAAGCUAAACGACUUCAGAAAGUUCGCGAUUUAAGAAGAUCAAUACAUCUUAGAUACAAUUCUGUAUUAAACAUAUUUGACGAGCUCAGAGUAACAGCAUGUAACAGAAAAUUAAAUUGCUAAUGGUUAACAAAUUAAUUGGUGCACCUAUAUGAUCCACAACGUUCCAAUAACAAAGUCGAGCUGCGUAAGCGGUUUCCAUCGAAACAUGGUGGAAUGUAUCGAGUUCUUUUCUUUUCAAAAGCUCUAUUUCAAGGGGGAAAAUGUUGAUGUAGCAUGGUGGGGGAGUUAUUCGUUUUAAGUGAAUCCGACCCUAUUGACUAAAACUGAGUUCAAAUUCGUAAUUAUUGACCCCGAAAACCACCGAGUGACAAGUGAUAAGUUUCCACCAUGUUUCGUCAUAUUGGUUUUUUGAUUCGUGUUCAGGGCCCCAAAAUACAUAGGGAUAUGAUACUCUGUAGUGUUGUUGUAGUGCUGUUAUUUUCGAGACAUAUUUGAGGUUCGGUUGAGAAUUAUGUAAAUUAAAAAUGAUGUAAAAAGAAUGUACAAGCUAAAUUGCCCAGGUAAUGGUGUCAUAUUUGUUUUAUACUUUUGCAAUUGAGAUUCAUUUUGUUUUAUAAAAAGCCGAUUAAUUUUAAUUUCGUCGAGGAAAUAAAAGCGGGAGUACCAAAAAAAAUCGGAAAAGUUUUUCGAAAGUGAAAACCGGAGCCUGGCUGAUAAUCAUGUUUUCUUUUAAUAUUUUUUCCAAUAAGAAAGAUGGUUCUUGAUAAAAGUUUUUCCUCAAAGUCUCUCUUAAAAGCCAUCUUAGUUGUUUGUUAAGGAAAUAUAAAGUUAUUUAUGGUAGAAUGUGAAUUGAUAAGUAAAAAGAAACAUGGAAAAACAAAAAAUAGAUUUUACCAUAUUACUAGAUUAAGCCAUAUUCAACUUCUGUUUCGCGUACGUUCGCGACCACAUCCACGUCCGCAGCCGUUACUUCGAUUCGAUCGAUUUCCUUACAUUUCCGGAACAACGGGUCUUUAAUACUGUUUCUCGAACUUUGGAGUAAUGCGUCAUCUGCUGCUGCAGAUCCAGACCUCGUCUGAUGGAUCGCAUAAUGGCUGACACCGAAGAUCCGCGUGCAGGAUUCUCCUGCAUAAAACGUUUUCAUCUGUUUUGCAACAACGGCCGUGUGGCUAUCUUCACCAAUAGGAGUCAACAACUGGUUCUUUUUUUCGUUGCCACGCGCGCCAUUUCCCGAUGCAUUUGGGCGGACAUUUCUACCAUUUUUGUGCGCGCAAGGACCGAGUUGGAGGACCUUCGGCAGCUAUUCAUGAGCGACGAGCAGUUCAUAAUUAUUGCAUCAACAACGGCUUCGAUUAUCGACUCAUACCGCAUCGCUCGCUCGAGGGUUUAUGGGAGCCAGCAGUAUAGGAGGCCAUACAGAAUUUGUAUUGCUCCGUGGGAUCGUCACUCUUUGUCUUGACGAUCUGCGGACAUUGUUCUGCCAAAUCCAAGCUGUAAUCAAUUCUCGUUUCGGUAUCCUUACACCAGGACGCUUUCUAAUUGGUCGUCUAUGAUCGCAGUUUCGAUCUCAUAUAUAUAACAGGCAGAAUAAAAAAAAAGUUCUACGUCGA
rnacentral:sRNA from 1 species